AAAAGCCGUGCUUUAAGACUGAGAGGGGAAACCGCCACUGAGCAGCGAUCUCUGAGACCAGAGGUCCAUCGGACAGUCCACCAGCUCUUCAGAGACCCACACAGACCUGCAAGUCCACACCCCUUCUAGCUUCUAUAACUAUCACCAUAUUAACAGUGAACCGAGCCAUCCUGACUGUUAUCCAUCAGACAAAGUGAUGAAAGAGGUCAUUAUCAUGCUGAGACAGUCAGCUGGAGUAAGCCAGAGGAAACGAAACAGAAAUGAAGAGUGCUCUAGAGACCCUGCCCUGUGUUCAAUCUACAAUGUCCACAACCAGCAAGAAAAAAAAGAGAGCAACUGUGUCAGAUCCAGAUAAACUUCCAGAAGUACAAUUCCUGAUCUGGAGAGGCUGCCCUGCCCCAGGGAGGGGCACUCACACCAUCCCCAUCUAAGUGCCUGACAGCAUCCCUUCCUGCACUGGCUAGCAGAGUCCCUGGCUGUGGACGGAUGUUCAUCACCCAACUUUCCUCUGCUUCAGUCCCAGGACCCUCCUAGCCCUUCUGCUCAGCUGGGGAGGUGGGGACUGAGCGGGGUCAGCUGCUGCUCUCAGCUCUGGGGUGGAAGCAUGUGUAAAUGUGAGCAGGCCUCCCUCCAUGUCAUCCCUGUUGGUGACUCUCAUUUCCCUUUGGCAAGCAGGUUAAUACUGUCCAGCAAACAACUCUCAGCUGGCCACCAAAUAACCAGGGAAUGGGAGUGGGCGCCGCCAGGGAUGGGGUGGACAGCAAGGGAAUCCCCACGGAGCUGGGCACACCCACUGUAUGUACAGGCUGCUGCUCUGUGCUCUGCUUGAGACAGCAGGCAGGUCCACUCCCCAGCCAGCUCUUACUGAAGCACUGUGGCCAGUGUCUACUGCAAGGCAGGCACUGAGGGGGGAGCUGGUACUGUCUCUGGAGCCAGUGGCUAGACUGUGAGACAAAGCACAGAAAGGGUUACAGUACCCUGAUGAUCUAGGCUAUUUCUUGAUGACAAACUAAACAAGUCUAGAGAAAGGAGUCACUACCUCCCCUAGGGAAGUUACAAUGAAACACACACACACACACACACACACACACACACACACACACACACGACCCUGUGGUAGUGAUGGGCUACUCUCAGGAACCAAGCUGGCCCUUUAAACAAUCCCGUCCCUCCCCAAGGCUCUUAUCUGAUAGGACACAAGGUUCUUAACAUCUUUGGGUCACUGUACUGGUUAAUGGCCCCCAUGCAGUACCAAAAAGAAUAGAGACUUUGGAUAUAGUCCUGAUCUGAUUCCUGUCACACUAUCCUUCCCAAGACUGGACAGGAUGUAGGGAGGGCGAAGGUCACUGCUGCUGACUGCUGUUGACAUGCCUACUGGGUAGCAAAGUCCCAGCCCAGUGGUGCUCACGACAGGCCAGGUGGUGAGUAGAAGCCUGGGCACAUCCUUGGCAGAUCACUCCCCACACCCUGCUCCCAGGACAGGCUUAUACCCUAGCCCCAUUCAGAGAAAGGCUCUCAGUCCCAGAGAGAGAACAGCAGCAGCUUGCCCAGGCUUACAGCAGGGCACGUCAGCAGCGUCUUGUGACACAGUCUCUCCUCUCUGAACCUUGGUCUGCAAUCUAUGAAAUCAGGCAAUUAGAGAGCUGAUCUGAAGCCCAGAGAGCCUUUCCUAGUUUCCAAAGGGAGCAGAAUCCCAGGACAUGGGACACUUCUGUUACAGGUGGUUAUAGUCCCAGUGGCUGCAGAAAGAGCCAACCCUCCCACUGCCACAAGAGAUGCCCUGGGCCAGCUCGGUGACUUUGGAGGGGGAGCUCCAAAGAGGAAUGGAGCAAGUGACACUUGGGUCUAGCUGGAGAUCUCUGUUAUAGAGCUCGUGGCAGGAGCUCAGGAAAAAGAGGCAGAACAGGCAAGUCACACACAGCUCUAGGGCGCAGAGCCUCAGACCCGACGUAAAGCAGCAAAGGACAAAGGGUAGAGCCCGUCACGCUCCGGGUGAGGCCCAGAUACCCUCACAGGGCAGCUCAACAGAUGCCCCAUGAGCUCAGUGGGACACAAAUAGUGAAAAUGUUGGCUCACUGGCUCUUUUUAAGAUUUACUCAUUUAUUUAUUUGAGACAAGAGGGUCUCACUCCAUAGCUUUGGCUAGCCUAGAACUUUUCUAUGCAGACCAGGUUGAAAAUCCAGCUGUGUCUGCCUAAGGCAUGUGCUACCAUGCCCCACGAGAUUUAUUUUUACUCACGUGUCUGGUGGUUUUACUUGCAUGUAUGUCUAUGUACCAUGUACAUGCAGGGCUCUCAAAGGCCAGAAGAAGGUACUGGAUCCUCUGGAACUGGAGUCAUGGACAGCUAUGAGCUGCCAUGUAGGUGCUGGGAUUCGAACCCAGGUUAUCUGGAAGAGCAGCCAGCCCUGUUAACUACUGAGCCAUCUCUCCAGCCUGUCAUUUGGGUCUUUUGAGGUGGUAGAGGAUCCGUUGGAGUAGAACAAUUGAAUGCUCUGGUCACUUGCUGCAGGUAGGGGACUACCAGCCUGGCUGGGAAGACAGCAGAGCAGACCUCGUAGCGUCUCCCUAGCAUUAACUCACUUGCCUUCACUUAACAGCUCCAACUUGCAGUUGAGACAAAUGGCAUUUGGGAAGGCUGAGAAAGCUAACACUGAGUAAAACCGUGAUAGGAUUCACUAGACCGAAAGCCCAGGGCUCUCUCUCCUCCAUCACCAUGGCCAAGAGCAGCACCUGACAGCCCCAACACCGGCAGGUCGGUGAAUGGAUGGCAGAGCAAGAACUUAAACCCUGGGGGUUGGGGAUUUAGCUCAGUGGUAGAGUGCUUGCCUAGCAUCCGCAAGGCCCUGGGUUCGGUCCCCAGCUCCGGGGGAAAAAAAAAAACUUAAACCCUGGUUCUAGUCAAGAUUUGGGAAGAGGAAAUCUUCCAAGUUGUAGAGAUGGCUGGGGUCAAGUCCCAAGAGCAGUGCAGGGGAGGAAUGCAGGGCCACUUCUACCUCCUGGGGCAGCUCAUCUGGACAUCUCAAUGCCUGACUCACAACAACAAAGGCACACCACCCCCUGUCAGGCACAGAACACUUUCACACUCACUUACUGCCUCUGUUUUCAGUUCUCUGCCUUCUGCUGGGUGGCCUUAGCAGCAAGGGUGUGUCAGGGCUCGGUGCUCAGAGUGCUGGCCAGACAGGUUCCCACUGUGGGGAAACCUACACCACUCACAAUCCUCUGUAAGCCUGCAUACAAGGCAGGGCCAGUUGGAGCCAACAAGAAACCAACAUUGUUCCUGGUGGGGUGGGGGACACAAAUGCCCCCCUCCCAAGCAAAGAGCCCUCAAAUAGCCAAAGGCACACUAGGAAGAAACCCACAGGGGACAUGGCAGGAGGCUGUGUCCUGGAAGACAGAGUCCCACCCUGGAUGAUACUGGCCUCCAUCUCCCAGCGUGAGCACCUGGACUCCACUGGACUCUGCUCUGAGUAGAGAGGCACUGCGCCCCAGUGGGAGGAACCCGGGCGCUGAGGCAGGGCAGCAACAGGAAACCAUUCAGCUGUUCACUGGCUUCACCAAACUGUUCUUCUCUAACCUCCAGGUUCCUCUUUGGUCCAAAGGGUAGUGGAGGGAGCAGUGUGGAGAAGGACAGAGGCUCCCUUUCUCCUCACACCUCACACAGCUGUUUCUCACACUCAGGCUUAAGCUCUCUCCCUGCCCUCUCAGUGCCACACCGCCUUAACAGUCUAGCCCCACCCUCUAAGUGCUUCACCUCUUGGGUCACCACAUUUUAAGUUAUAACCUCAAUCUUAAGUAGGAGAAGCAAGGCCACAAAGCACAGCGAUGCCCGCCUGCCUGCCUGCCUGCCUGCCCCUUACAUCGUACAGACCCUCAGUGCAGAAUUAUCUUUUAGAACCAAACAAGUCUUGCUUUCCCCAAAGAAUCAAACGAGAAGCCAGUGAAUACCAUGCUUUCUCCCAUCGCCUUGGCUGCCUAGUCCAACUGCGGCAACUCUGCCUCUUUAUGGCUGAAAAUAGUAGUGCUCUGUCUCAAAGACCUUGAUUUCACUUCCCAGUACACAGAUCCAACAAACUCCUGUCUGGCAUGGAGUCAGUAGAGUCUGGACCGACGCUCAUGGUGGGAACCCCAGACAGUUCAGCCCAGCACACCGUCUACAUCCUCCCAACACAGCACACCACGUCUUUACCUGGAUGGGAAAGUAGUCUCGAAAAUAGCGCCACACGGCCCAGUUUCGCACCCACUGUGAUCUCCUGCCACCUUCCAGGAAACAAAGCACAGUGUUGGGAAGGAGUGGGCGCGAGGGGCAUUUGAGCAAUGCAGGCGAGGCGAGACAGAGACAGUAAGAACCCUGAGGGAUGUAUGUGUCUACCAGCCCACAUAGGAUCACUGUCCCUGCCCAGUGGGCCCCUUCCCACAUACAUUCCCUCCCACCAUCCCUUAAGAAAGGUGAGCUCUGUGAACACACCAAAGGAGCUUUGAAUCGCCCACCCCAAGCCAUACACAGCCUAGCCCAGGUCCUUCACAAAGUAGGUGUUCCAAAAAAGGACGCAGCAGCCAGGAGGCGGGGCGGCAGCUGCGCAGAAAGCUUUCUAGGGCGCGGGGUGAACACAGGUGGGAGACGCGGACGCUCACCUUUCUUGGGCGUGUUCCAGUCAAAUGCCAGCCAGGUGAAGUAGAGAGCAGCUAUCAGCCAGCAGUCAGUGCAGAAGGUGUACAUGAGGAUGACACUGCAGGCCACUCCUGAGGGGCAGAGGACAACAGGUCAGGUUCCCGGGCCUCCUGGCUGGGCCAAGGCUUCCCCCUUGGAAGGGAUGAAGUUUCCCAUGGUGCUAAUCUAGGCAGAGGGCCCGGAUGCCUAGGCACUGGGAGUAGUGGGUGGGUGGCUGGCUCAGUGCAGAGCCAGCACAGGCCUCACUUCUUAAGAUUCUGGUGAGUCCUAGUGCCAGGGGCACCUGGCUUGAGCAGGACGAGCAGUACAGGGAGACCUCAGUUUCUCGUGAAGCAAUCCUUCAUGUCUGCUCCUUGAACGGCCCCUUUGCCAGCAAAGACACUGGACACAGGAAAGGAAUAUCAAGUAUCUCCCUUUCCUUUUGGAGAUGGGCUAAGCCACUGAGUCACUAAAGCUGGGUGACUUUUAUUUUGUUUUAGAGGAGAACUUGGCAAGAGUGACUUGCCCAUGCUUACCCAGAGGAGAGCCAGGGUUUAAACUCAGACUUUGAAGUCCAAGGUCCAUACUCGGCCUUAGAAGUUCACCAAAGAUGACAACUCUCAGAUUGUGAUGGGGGUGGAUGGUGAGGGGUAGAGUCAGGAGUGAAGGGGACUGUUGUCACAGGAGAGCUGUCCCCUUUAACAUACAGGAGGCUAGGCAGCCCCGGGACAGAGCCAAAGCCCACCAGGCUCCCUGUCCCCAAACACUUAAGAGUCUCCUGGAACAUCUACUUUGGACCUCCUGGCAGGCCAUGCAGCUGAAUGGCCUGGCCCAGAGGAAGGAGAGCCAGUAUCUCAUGGCCACCCCUAGAUCCCUUCAUCAUGGCUUCUUUUUACCCAGUCUUUAAGCCCCAGUCAGAUCCUUGUUCCUGCAGAGUGCUCCUCCAUAUCAAACUACCCCACCUACAAUCUCUUGCCUCAAAAGGGGCACUGGAUGGGGGCGGAACUCAGGUUUCAUGACCCUUUCCGUCUACACUGUUAAGCCUGAGUUGUUUCCAUUGCAAAGAACAGGUCUGAGUGCAGAUCUCUGUGACCCUCAGAACAGGGAAAUUGUGGCUCUCACCCUCUCUCCUGAGCCCAGGAGAACUAAAACCAGACGACAGUUUCUGGAGAACAGGCAUGUGGUUUCUUAGGACAGUUUAGCAGUGGCACGCACAUAGGACGCUGAGUCGUGGGAGGCGUCUGCAGCCCACACACCCUGUUGAGGAUAAUGUAGGUCCUAAGGCAGCUGAGAAGAAUCCUGCUUAUAUUUAGGCUGCACAUACGACACCGUUCCAACAAUUUGCCUCGUGCCCCCUUCCUUGGUCCCAGAAAAAGGUUCCUCCGGCGCCAGCCUCUGCAGUGUCCAAAGCAAAGAGAGGAAGGCUCAGUUCAGUCCAAGGGGGCCAGGACUCAGAGUUCAGAAAGGGUGUAGUGAAAACAUCCUACAGCCCUUGCUGCCGGGAGGCUGGUUGCCAUGGGGAGGAAGGUUAUCACUUCAUACCUGUCCUUUCUGCAUGACUAAGCGAGAAAAGCCCAAGGUUGGUAAUUCCAGCCCUGGCGCUACGCAGCUGCCCCCCCCCCCCCGCCCCUCAAGAUGUACAUUUUCUCUCACCACCUGCCUGUCUAACAGAGCUAAGUCCAUGAGAAACUCUGGAGCUAGAACAAGGUGAGAUUAAUCUCUCCAGCCCAGCCACCAACACAGAAAGGGCUUUAAGUAAAAAGAAUGAGCCACCUGCUGGGAUGGAGGCUGAAAACUUUAGAGUCUCUGGAGGCAGAGGAAUGUGGAUACAGACAGACAGACAGACUGACAGAUAUGCCAAUUAGGGCUACACAAUGAGAUCCUGUAUCCAAAAACCUCACAGAGGAGGCUUGGGAAGACAACAAUGAACUAGCCCAUAAAAUGGUCUCCCUUUUGGAGAACCUACAACAGCUGCCUGUGCCAUGUCCUCAGGCUGAAGCCCUCCAAUGCCACUGGGCCCAGGACCUGUUAGCACAGUGACUGAAGCAUCCUGCUGUUCCACAGAGACUGCUCAGAACUACCUGCGUACAUGCCUCCCUGUACAUGGCAGCCUCACACAACUCACACAGCAGAGCUCUGACCCCCGCUGGUGUACAGGGCAGUGUGUGGGUGCCCUUUGGAAGGACACACAGCAACAGGGCUGUGGAGAGAGGGACUCUAGGACCAAGCAUAGUCAGAGACUUGGCCACCCCCGGGCCUUUCCUUUCUUAUAGAGGGCUGGCAAGAUGAAAUGACAUGAUGUUGGGAUGUAACACACGAUCUGGAAUACAGUAAGUGCUUAUGGGCCUGUAUGGGGGAGCAAAAAUGACAUCCAGAUUUCCUUCUGGAUUCACAUGGAAAUUCAGCAUUUCCUUCACUAAGUCACAGAAGUAUUAGCAAAGCCUGUUGACACGAUACCUACAGAUGACAAGGGUGUGUUCAUACUGAAUUAUGACAGCCUCAGCAAUCUUGAUACUCCAUUUAUUACUACUUAAGAUUAGUAAUUAUUAUAGCUGCCGCCACUUUCUCACUCGACAUAAUAAAAGAGCACACAUUACUGAAUGUCCAGCUGGGUUUCAAAUGUUUACAUAGUUACAUUCCGGCAAUAUUAGCUCCUUUAAAACCCAAUGUACUUUAUUUAUACAAUUAAAAGAACCAAGAAGGCCCACAGCUUUCACCAGAAUUCUAGUGGACUAGAUGGCACAUUAUAAAAACAAAACCAAAGACUGUUUAAGAAAAACAUAAAGGGGCUCCAUUGCAGCUUCACAGUAUAGCAAGCCUCUGCCGGCAGGUUUGGGACACAGAGGGAGUGGCUGUGACUGCUCAUGUAGUAAUUAACAGCAGCUUAAGCAGGCCUGAUCAUCUUGCCCAGGUCUAGCUCUCACCUACACCAACUAGCAUAUUGGAAAGACACGCCAGGCCAGUUUCUGGGCUGUGGCUGGGCCUCACAGAUCAUUAACCUACAGCUCGGGGCCAGUCCCUAGUUCCUAUCACAUGCUCUCUGGGCUAGGAUUGCACAAUUUACUCAGUGCCCCACAGCCAAGUUCUGACCCACUAAGGCAAGUGGUGGCUUCUAGUGCAAACAGAGACAUCAGGAGCUGCCAAAACAGACUAGGAGAGGACCGAGAGGCUGGGGUCACUCAAGUCUUGUCUUGGUUCCUUCCAUUUUUUUCUGUAGCUCUAGACAAGGCUCUGUCCCCACUAGGUCCUUCCUUCCUGUCUGAACAAAGAUGAGAUUGCAUUAUCUCCUCUACUCUGGUAUUCUAACAAGAGGCCAAAUGCAAACCACACUCAGGGGCUGGGCCCUGUCCUCAAACCUCUGCUUCUUCACCUUUCUGGGACCAUGUGACCCUGCAAGAAUCUGAGGAUAGCUCCAGCCUUCCUAGCAAUAAAAGUGCAUACAUGGUCUUACAUUUAAUUUUAAUUAAAUGUAAUCAAUGAAUCACCACAGCCUCUCCAUUAAUUCUGAAUGGAGUAGUAAGGGAAUGCACUGGGCUUUGGCUCAAACUCCAACUCCCACCUGUGCAGUGGGAACUUGACAAAAGACAUUCCAAGAACCUGGCACAUGUGGGAUUUGUUCCCUUUGGUCUACACCGAGGGCUGAGGCUCUAUGCCUGCCUCAAGGACAGCUGUUCUCUAUUGUCUGGAUGUCUGCCAAGCUCCCAUCAUCCUGGGCAGUUUGAAGAGAGAGCCUGAAGGCCUGGCCACAAGAGCCAGACACGUGGUGCUCUGCAGCAGGUCUAUCAGACGCUAGCCUGUGCUGAGGACAUAAGGCCUGGGCAUGAGAAGGUCCCGGGUGUUCCUAGCUGGCAAACAUUGAAGCACCUAGCCAGUCUGCACAGGCAGUGUCACAAAGCCAGCACAGGCAGGGGAGUGGCUGGGGAUAGACUCAGCAAAGGGGAUUAGGCCUGGCAUUGGAAUCCUAGAACACUCUAACCACAGCAUCCAUGCAAUGGGACCACCAGCAGGCUCUGUGUAGGGGCUUUCAACCUUCAUCUUCAAUCCCCGGGAUGCCUACAAAAGGCAUGUGAGGUGAGCAGCAGCACCUUCACAUUCAAGAGGAGGGUACUUGUUCUGAGAGGUCAAGAAGCCUACGUAAAGUCAGAGCUUGUCUGGAGUGGGUCUCAAACUUGGCGAUGCAUGCUCUAAGGCAAAGCAACACACCUGCUCUUUGCCGACAGACAAGGUGGGACUGACUGUAAGAGGGGCACAUGCUUCAGGCAUCCCACAGAACCAGAGUCCAGGAAGUUGGGCAAGUUAAGCUGCAAAAUAAAGCCAUACUAUAUCUAUGGAUUAUGUUUUCCUGCAUACCUAAUGGUGGAGUGUUUGACCUAAAACAUGGGAGUAAGUGGCAAGAGGCUGGGGAAGAAGAUAACCUCACUGAAUGCAACCAUGUCCGCCCCACUCAGCACCACCCUAGGUGAGCUUACCUAGCACCAGGAAGGAUAGGACCCACUGUAGGACUGAGAUGACCUGUAGGUGUUUUUCCACCUUGGAUCUGUUGAGCCAGGUGACAGAGAAGAUGUCUUGGAGGGCCGAGAGGAUGCUGGAGCCAGUGCCUGCAGGAGAGGAUGUUCGUUUGUUAUAAACCCGCUCUCAUCUAUGUUAAUGGAGAGUUUUGCUGGAUAUAAUAGCCUGGGCUGGCAUUCGUAUUCUCUUAGGAUCUGUAUGACAUCUAUCCAGGCUUUCAUAGUCUCAGGUGAGAAGUCUGGUGUGAUUCUGAUAGGUCUGCCUCUAUGUGUUACUUGACCUUUUUCCCUUAUUGCUUUUAAUAUUCUUUCUUUGCUUUGGGUAUUUGGUAUUUUGACUAUUAUGUGACAGGAGGAAUUUCUUUUCUGGUCCAAUUUAUUUGGAGUUCGGUAGGCUUCCUGUAUCUCUUUCUUUAGGUUUAGGGGAGUUUUCUUCUAUAAUUUUAUUGAAGAUAUUUACUGGCCCUUUAAGUUGGGAAUCUUUGUUUUCUUCUAAAACUAUUAUCCUUAGGUUUGGUCUUCUCAUUCCUGGAUGUUUUGGGUUAGGAGAUUUUUGCGUUUUACACUUUUCUUUAAUGGUUGGGUUGAUGUUUUCUAUGAUAUCUUCUGCCCCUGAGAUUCUCUCUUCUAUCUCUUAUAUUAGCCCAAAAGCUUGGAUUACCCAAGAUACAAUCCACAGAUCACAUGAAGCUCAAGAAGAAGGACGAUCAAAGUGUGGAUGCUCCAAUCCUUCUUAGAAGUAAGAACAAAAUAUUCACAGGAGAUAUGGAGACAAAGUUUGGAGCAGAGACUGAAGGAAUGGCCAUUCAGAGCCUGCCCCACCUGGGAAUCCAGCCCAUAUACAUACAGCUACCAGAUCCACACAAUAUUGCUGAUGCCAAGAAGUGCAUGCUGACAGGAGCCUGAUAUAGCUGUCUCCUGAGAGGCUCUGCCAGAGCAUGACAAAUACAGAGGUGGAUGCUCGAAGCCAACCAUUGAACUGAGAACUGGGUCCCCAUUGGAGGAGUUAGAGAAAAGAUUGAAGGAGCUGAAGGUGUUUGCAACCCUAUAAGAACAAUACCAACCAACCAGAGCUCAGAGAGACUAAACCACCAUCCAAAGAGUACACAUGGACAGACCCAUGGUUCCAGCAGCCUAUGUAGCAGAGGAUGGCCUUGUUGGGCACCAAAGGGAGGAGAAACCCUUGGUCCUGCCCAAGGCUGGACCUCCCAGUGUAGGGGAAUGUCAGGGCAGGGAGGCGGGAAGGGAUGGGUGGUUGGGUGAGGGAAAGGGGAUAACAUUUGAAAUGUAAAUAAAAAAUAUCCAACAAAAAAAA